rnacentral:lncRNA from 1 species
GGCCCCGGGCAGCCCGGCCUCCGUCUGCUACGUCUGCGGGGCCGAGCUGGGCCCCGGGAAGGAGUUCCAGCUCAACGUGAACCCCUCGGGCCGCCUGGGCGAAAAGGAGCCCUUCUUCCCGUUCCUCACCGUCUACCCGCCCGCCCCACGCGCCAGGCCCGCGGACUCCACCGGCCUGGUGGCCACCUGCGUGCUGUGCUACCACGACCUGCUGGGCCAGUGGCUGCAGCACGAGGCCCGCGGCGCCCAGCACGCCGUCAGCGCCUGGUCUCGACAGUACCGGGUGGAGACGUUCGUGUGCUUCUUCUGCCAGCAGGAGAAGGAGCGGUGUCUUGGGCUGAGGGCCGUGCGGGUCGCCCGGCUGCCGCUGUUCCUCUACACCCUGCGAGCGAGCCACAGCCUGCUGGUGGACGAUGGGCGGCAGCUGAUCAUCGGCGCCUGCGUGGAGUGUGGGACCCUGGUGUGCGCCGGCCAAGGGCUGGCCCGCCAGGGGCCCCUCGGUUGGAGCUCCCCGGCGGCACCGGCGAUGAAGGUAAGCGGCGGUUUUCUCUUUGGCCUCUGCGAUC